rnacentral:rRNA from 1 species
AGUGAACGCUGGCGGUAUGCCUAACACAUGCAAGUCGAACGAAAGCACAGUAAGAUCUUUCUCUUGCGGUUGGCGACUGGCGGACGGGUAACACGUAGAUCGGAAUCUUCUUUUUCGUGGAGGAUAACGUGGAAACGCUUCUAAUACUACCUCAUACAACCUACGGGAUAAAGCAGUAGUGAUUCACACCUUUCGUGUUUGUAUUAGACGAUGUCGCAUUAGCUAGUUGGCUAGGUAAGGGCCUACCAAGGCGACGAUCCGUAGCUGACCUGAGAGGAUGAUCAGCCACACUGGAACUGAGACACGGUCCAGACUCCUACGGGAGGCAGCAGUAGGGAAUCUUGCGCAAUGGGCGAAAGCCUGACGGAGCAAUGCCGCGUGAGUGAUGAAGGUCUUCGGAUCGUAAAACUCUGUUAUUAGGGAAGAAAAAAUGUGUAAGAAACUAUGCACGUCUUGACGGUACCUAAACAGAAAGCCACGGCUAACUUCGUG